UACGGAGGGUGCGAGCGUUGUCCGGAAUCAUUGGGCGUAAAGGGCGCGUAGGUGGCCCGGUCAGUUCGUGGUGAAAGCGCGGGGCUCAACCCUGCGUCGGCCAUGAAUACUGCCGCGGCUGGAGCACUGUAGAGGCAGGCGGAAUUCCGGGUGUAGCGGUGGAAUGCGUAGAGAUCCGGAAGAACACCGGUGGCGAAGGCGGCCUGCUGGGCCGACACUGACACUGAGAGACGAAAGCUAGGGGAGCGAAUGGG
rnacentral:rRNA from 1 species